rnacentral:rRNA from 1 species
AACGAACGCUGGCGGCAUGCCUAACACAUGCAAGUCGAACGAGAUCUUCGGGUCUAGUGGCGCACGGGUGCGUAACGCGUGGGAAUCUGCCCUUUGGUUCGGAAUAACAGUGGAAACGACUGCUAAUACCGGAUGAUGACGAAAGUCCAAAGAUUUAUCGCCAGAGGAUGAGCCCGCGUAGGAUUAGCUAGUUGGUGUGGUAAAGGCGCACCAAGGCGACGAUCCUUAGCUGGUCUGAGAGGAUGAUCAGCCACACUGGGACUGAGACACGGCCCAGACUCCUACGGGAGGCAGCAGUGGGGAAUAUUGGACAAUGGGCGAAAGCCUGAUCCAGCAAUGCCGCGUGAGUGAUGAAGGGCUUAGGGUUGUAAAGCUCUUUUACCCGGGAUGAUAAUGACAGUACCGGGAGAAUAAGCUCCGGCUAACUCCGUGCCAGCCGCCGCGGUAA